GUGCACCAGUCGCGAAAACUCUGCAAUACGCGAAAGCGUGACAGGGCUACCCCGAGUGUCGUCCGCUGAGGACGACUUUUCCACGCUGUAAGGAGGCGUGGGAAUAAGGAGAGGGCAAGUCUGGUGUCAGCCGCCGCGGUAAUACCAGCUCUCCGAGUGGUAGGGACGUUUAUUGGGCUUAAAGCGUCCGUAGCGGGCUCAACAAGUCUCCCGUUAAAUCCAACGAUUCAAUCGUUGGACUGCGGAGGAUACUGUUCGGCUAGGGGGCGGGAGAGGCCGACGGUAUUCUCGGGGUAGGGGUGAAAUCCUAUAAUCCCGGGAAGACCACCAGUGGCGAAGGCUGUCGGCUAGAACGCGCCCGACGGUGAGGGAUGAAAGCUGGGGGAGCGAACCGGAUUAGAUACCCGCGUAGUCC
rnacentral:rRNA from 1 species